rnacentral:rRNA from 1 species
GUUCGAUCAUGGCUCAGAUUGAACGCUGGCGGAUCUUGCGGCCAAGUCAGGCAGCGGCACGGACUUCGGUCUGGUGGCGAGUGGCGAACGGGUGAGUAAUGUAUCGGAACGUGCCUAGUAGCGGGGGAUAACUACGCGGCGUAGCUAAUACCGCAUACGCCCUUCGGGGGAAAGCGGGGACCUUCGGGCCUCACACUAUUAGAGCGGCCGAUAUCGGAUUAGCUAGUUGGUGGGGUAACGGCUCACCAGGCGACGAUCAGCUGGUUUGAGAGACGACCAACCACACUGGGACUGAGACAUGAACUCCUACAGGAGGCAGCAGUGGGGAAUUUUGGACAAUGGGGAAACCACAGUCCAGCCAUCCCGCGUGGCGAUGAAGGCCUUCGGGUUUUGGCAAAAAGCACUUUUGGCAGGAAAAACGGCACGGGAUAAUGCCCCGUGCAACUGACAAUUACCUGCAGAAUGACACCGGUAACUACGUGCCAGCGCGGUAAUACGUGAGGAUUUUAGCGUUCCCAAUCGGAAUUACUGGGCGUAAAGCGUGCGCGAACGGUUCGGAAAAGAAAGAUGUGAAAUCCCAGGCUUAACUUUGGAACUGCAUUUUUUAACUACCGAGCUGAGUGUCAGAGGGAGGUGGAAUUCCGCAUGUAGCAGUGAAAUGCGUAGAUAUGCGGAGGAACACCGAUGGCGAAGGCAGCCUCCUGGGAUAACACUGACGCUCAUGCACGAAAGCGUGGGGAGCAAACAGGAUUAUAAUGCCUGGUAGUCCACGCUAAGCGUCGUCCAACUAGCUGUUGGGGCCUUCGGGCCUUGGUAGCGCAGCUAACGCGUGAAGUUGACCGCCUGGGGGAGUACGGUGCCAAGAUUAAAACUCAAAGAAAUUGACGGGGACCCGCACAAGCGGUGGAUGAUGUGGAUUAAUUCGAUGCAACGCGAAAAACCUUACCUACCCUUGGUAUGUCUGGAAUCCCGAAGAGAUUUGGGAGUGCUCGCGAACGGAACACAGGUGCUGCAUGGCUGUCGUCCAGCUCGUGUCGUGAGAUGUUGGGUUGAUCCCGCAACGAGCACAACCCUUGUCGAUGGUUGCUGAAGGGCACUCUAAUGAGACUGCGGUGACAAACCGGAGGAAGGUGGGGAUGACGUCAAGUCCUCAUGGCCCUUAUGGGUAGGGCUUCACCACGUCAUACAAUGGUCGGGACAGAGGGGUCGCCAACCCGCGAGGGAGCCAAUCCCAGAAACCCGAUCGUAGUCGGAUCGCAGUCUGCAACUCGACUGCGUGAAGUCGGAAUCGCUAGUAAUCGCGGAUCAGCAUGUCGCGGUGAAUACGUUCCCAGGUCUUGUACACACCGCCCGUCACACCAUGGGAGUGGGUUUUACCAGUAGUUGGCCUAACCGUAAGGAGGGCGAUUACCACAGUGGGAUUAUGACUGGUGAAGUCGUAACUCGGUAA